rnacentral:misc_RNA from 1 species
UUAAGUUCAGCGGGUAAUCUUGCUUGAUCCGAGGUCGACCUUAGUAUAAAUUUGGUGCACAAGGCAAAGUCUUUUAUCGUUCGAGCUUUCAGACACAUUUUGCUGUGCUUGGCUAAACUUCAGACGCCAAUUAGUUUGAAGCCGUCGAUCUCACAAAAGUUAAAAUCGACGGCUCAUCGCAAGGCAAAGCCUUAUGGUCA